UCUUCUCUGUUUGAGUGUGGGAGGAACCUAUGAAGAUAUGAAUAUUGCAUAGGUGAUUGGGUGAUGUUACAUAGCACAGCUGACUUUAAGUAAAGAAAGUUAGCCUCAGAUAGUCUGACCUAAUCAGACAUGUAGAACUGACCAAUAAGAACUGACCUAACCAGGUCAGAAGCACAACCACUGUGGGCAAAAGACAAGUAUUUAAUUUAUAAAUGGAGG
rnacentral:lncRNA from 10 species